GGAUUAACGCUGGCGGCAUGCCUAAUACAUGCAAAUCGAACGAAGCCUUUUAGGCUUAGUGGUGAACGGGUGAGUAACACGUAUCCAAUCUACCCUUAAGUUGGGGAUAACUAGUCGAAAGAUUAGCUAAUACCGAAUAAUAACAUUUUAUCGCAUGAUUUAAUGUAGAAAGUCGCGUUUGCGACGCUUUUGGAUGAGGGUGCGACGUAUCAGAUAGUUGGUGAGGUAACGGCUCACCAAGUCAAUGACGCGUAGCUGUACUGAGAGGUAGAACAGCCACAAUGGGACUGAGACACGGCCCAUACUCCUACGGGAGGCAGCAGUAGGGAAUUUUUCACAAUGGGCGCAAGCCUUAUGAAGCAAUGCCGCGUGAAUGAUGAAGGUCUUAUAGAUUGUAAAAUUCUUUUAUUUGGGAAGAAAUGUUAAGAUAGGAAAUGAUUUUAACUUGACUGUACCAUUUGAAUAAGUAUCGGCUAACUAUGUGCCAGCAGCCGCGGUAAUACAUAGGAUGCAAGCGUUAUCCGGAUUUACUGGGCGUAAAACGAGCGCAGGCGGGUUUGUAAGUUUGGUAUGAAAUCUAGAUGCUCAACGUCUAGCUGUAUCAAAAACUGUAAACCUAGAAUGUAGUAGGGAGUUGGGGAACUCCAUGUGGAGCGGUAAAAUGCGUAGAUAUAUGGAAGAACACCGGUGGCGAAGGCGCCAACUUAGACUAUCAUUGACGCUUAGGCUCGAAAGUGUGGGGAGCAAAUAGGAUUAGAUACCCUAGUAGUCCACACCGUAAACGAUGAUCAUUAAAUGUCGGCCCGUAUGGGUCGGUGUUGUAGCUAACGCAUUAAAUGAUCUGCCUGGGUAGUACAUUCGCAAGAAUGAAACUCAAACGGAAUUGACGGGGACCCGCACAAGUGGUGGAGCAUGUUGCUUAAUUUGACAAUACACGUAGAACCUUACCUAGGUUUGACAUCUAUUGCAAUGUUAUAGAAAUAUAACGGAGGUUAACAAUAUGACAGGUGGUGCAUGGUUGUCGUCAGCUCGUGUCGUGAGAUGUUGGGUUAAGUCCCGCAACGAGCGCAACCCCUUUCGUUAGUUAAUUUUUUAACGAUACUGCUACUGCAAAGUAGAGGAAGGUGGGGAUGACGUCAAAUCAUCAUGCCCCUUAUAUCUAGGGCUGCAAACGUGCUACAAUGGCUAAUACAAAGUGUCGCGACUUCGUAAGAAGAAGCCAAUCACAUAAAGUUAGUCUCAGUUCGGAUUGAGGGCUGCAAUUCGCCCUYAUGAAGUUGGAAUCACUAGUAAUCGCGAAUCAGACAUGUCGCGGUGAAUACGUUCUCGGGUCUUGUACACACCGCCCGUCAAACUAUGGGAGCUGGUAAUAUCUAAAACCGUAUAUCUAACCGUAAGGAGGAGUACGUCUAGGGUAGGAUCGGUGACUGGAGUUAAGUCGUAACAAGGUAUCCCUACGAGAACGUGGGGAUGGAUCACCUCCUUUCU
rnacentral:rRNA from 1 species